rnacentral:rRNA from 1 species
AGGGCACCACCAGGAGUGGAGCCUGCGGCUUAAUUUGACUCAACACGGGAAAACUCACCCGGCCCGGACACUGGAAGGAUUGACAGAUUGAGAGCUCUUUCUUGAUUCAGUGGGUGGUGGUGCAUGGCCGUUCUUAGUUGGUGGAGUGAUUUGUCUGGUUAAUUCCGAUAACGAACGAGACUCUAGCCUACUAAAUAGAUCGUCGGCUUACAAACGCCGGCGAGACUUCUUAGAGGGACAGGCGGUGAUUCAACCGCACGAAACAGAGCAAUAACAGGUCUGUGAUGCCCUUAGAUGUCCGGGGCCGCACGCGCGCUACACUGAAGUGAUCAGCGUGCUUUUUCAACCUACUCUGUCGAGAGUGGGGAACCCAAUGAACCUUCUUCGUGAUUGGGAUAGGGGAUUGUAAUUAUUCCCCUUGAACGAGGAAUUCCCAGUAAGCGCGAGUCAUAAGCUCGCGUUGAUUACGUCCCUGCCCUUUGUACACACCGCCCGUCGCUACUACCGAUUGAAUGUUUU